rnacentral:rRNA from 1 species
CCGCGAAUUCGCCCUUCUGGUUGAUCCUGCCAGAGGUCACUGCUAUCGGUGUUCGACUAAGCCAUGCGAGUCAAAUGUUCUUCGUGAACAUGGCGUACUGCUCAUGUAACACGUGGAUAACCUGCCCUUAGGACUGGCAUAACCCCGGGAAACUGGGGAUAAUUCCGGAUAGUUCAUGGUAGCUGGAAUGCUCCAUGAUCGAAAGCUAUUGCGCCUAANGAUGGGUCUGCGGUCUAUCANGUANUAGUGGGUGUAAUGUACCUACUAGCCGACGACGGAUACNGGUUGUGGGAGCAAGANCCCGGAGAUGGAUUCUGAGACAUGAAUCCAGGCCCUACGGGGCGCANCAGGCGCNAAAACUUUACAAUGCGGGAAACCGCNAUAAGGGGACACCGAGUGCCAGCAUCUUAUGUUGGCUGUCCGCAUGUAUAAAUCACAUGUGUUAGCAAGGGCCGGGCAAGACCGGUGCCAGCCGCCGCGGUAACACCGGCGGCCCGAGUGGUGGCCACUAUUAUUGGGUCUAAAGGGUCCGUANCCGGUUUGGUCAGUCUUCCGGGAAAUCUGACGGCUUAACCGUUAGGCUUUCGGGGGAUACU